GAUGACGAAGGGCAAGCAAUAGCUGAGCUUACUAGCCAUAUGGUUAAACUAGCGCAUGUGCCUACUCAGGUAUGGAAAGGGUACAAUCCAAGUAGUUGGUUUGGUAGCUGGUAUGAGUGGUUUGGAGGGCUUAAGGCAGUGGUAGGUGGAGUCCUACUGAUUUUAAUGUUGUGUCUACUCCUGCCGUGUCUUAUACCCUUAGUAGUUAGGUCUGUGCAAAGCCUGAUAGAAAAUAUAGCAGAAAGGAAGGCUGCUGCACAGAUAAUGGCAAUUUAUAAAUAUAAGGCUCUAGAUCAGGGAGAACCAAUGCAGGAAGACGAGUGUUGAAGAUUCACAUCAUAGGAUAAGUCUGGUCUGGUUCAAAGGUAACUUGUGGUGUAUGCAAACCAAGGUUAAGUGAUGCCUCAAGUAAUUGUAAAAUAUCAAGAGGCAUCAAAGGGGGGAAUGUGGUGGAAUCUCGGUAAAAAUAAAUUUAGUAGGCCGAGAUUACCACGUGGCAUGUGUACGUGCAUAUGCUGACGUAUCGAUCAGUUGGUUGCACGAGGCAAG